rnacentral:ncRNA from 1 species
GUCCGGGGACUGUCAGCGACGCCGUAGAGGGAACAACAAUAGGAACGACUACCAUGCAUGUAGUAAUUUUUUUCACGAAUACAUGUAGAGCGUAUCAACGCAUGUGCAUGGCUGUCGUUAGCUCGUGUUGUAAGGUGUUGGGUUAAGUCUCGCAACGAACACAUCCCUCGUGUCUAGUUGCCACUGUAAGUUUGGAACCCUGAACAGACCGCUGGUGUUAAGCCGGAGGAAGGAGAGAAUGAGGCCAAGUCAUCAUGCCCCUUAUGCCAUGGGCGACACACGUGCUAUAAUGGGCGGGACAAAGGGUCGCGAUCUCGCGAUUGUGAGCUAACUCCAAAAACCCGUCCUCGGUUCGGAUUGCAGGCUGCAACUCGCCUGCAUGAAGCAGGAAUCGCUAGUAAUUGCCGGUCGGCCAUACGGCGAUGAAUCCGUUCCCGGGCCUUGUAC